rnacentral:rRNA from 1 species
UACGUAGGGUGCGAACGUUAAUCGGAAUUACUGGGCGUAAAGCGUGCGCAGGCGGUUUUGUAAGCCAGAUGUGAAAUCCCCGGGCUUAACCUGGGAAUGGCAUUUGGGACUGCAAGGCUUGAGUGCGGCAGAGGAGACUGGAAUUCCUGGUGUAGCAGUGAAAUGCGUAGAUAUCAGGAGGAACACCGAUGGCGAAGGCAGGUCUCUGGGCUGACACUGACGCUCAUGCACGAAAGCGUGGGGAGCAAACAGG